UGGGACGUGGUGUAUGGCGCACCGCUGCGUCGAAUAAAUAGCUUUGUAAUGCAGUCAGUUUGCAUGCAGCAGGCCGGGGUUCGACUCCCCGCGUCCCAC